rnacentral:snRNA from 1 species
UGCUCACUUUGGCAGCAGUAUACUAAAAUUGGAACGAUACAGAGAAAAUUAGCAUGGCCCCUAAAAAAAAAACAAAAGCCAGGUGCAGUGGCUCAUGCCUGUAAU